UCUAAAAUAAUGCAUUUUCAACCAAGCAAUUUCUACUUCAAGGCCAAACAGACAAUGAAACAGGAAUAAAUUUUAUGAAAAAAUAUGUAACAGUCUGAAAAUCAUACUUCUUCGAGCCAACAAACAUCAUCUGGAACUUACUGAGUCUAAAACCACCCUCUUUGCACAACUAGAUCUAAACUAAAAAUCCACUGGACAUUGGAUUCUAUAAUGAAAAGAUUCUGGUGUAACAUUUUCUGAUCAACUUAACCAGGUGCACAACAGAGAAUAUGGGGCAAGCUUUUAACUGAGAGUUGGUU
rnacentral:misc_RNA from 1 species